GAUGAACGCUGGCGGCGUGCCUAAUACAUGCAAGUCGAGCGAACAGAUAAGGAGCUUGCUCCUUUGACGUUAGCGGCGGACGGGUGAGUAACACGUGGGUAACCUACCUAUCAGACUGGAAUAACUCCGGGAAACCGGGGCUAAUGCCGGAUAACAUUUAGAACCGCAUGGUUCUAAAGUGAAAGAUGGUUUUGCUAUCACUUAUAGAUGGACCCGCGCCGUAUUAGCUAGUUGGUAAGGUAACGGCUUACCAAGGCAACGAUACGUAGCCGACCUGAGAGGGUGAUCGGCCACACUGGAACUGAGACACGGUCCAGGCGCCUACGGGAGGCAGCAGUAGGGAAUCUCCCGCAAUGGGCGAAAGCCUGACGGAGCAACGCCGCGUGAGUGAUGAAGGUCUUCUGAUCGUAAAACUCUGUUAUUAGGGAAGAACAAAUGUGUAAGUAACUGUGCACGUCUUGACGGUACCUAAUCAGAAAGCCACGGCUAACUACGUG
rnacentral:rRNA from 1 species